UACAAGUGUGACAUCAGUGGUCAUGGAGAGUCUCCAUCCAGCUGGAUCACUGUCACAGACAAACACACCACCACACCUCCACCUACAUCCACACCUCCACCUACAUCAGCCUCUAUUACUACAAGCACUCCUGCUUAUUCUUCGUUCCUUCUCUGUGUGUUAUUUCCUGUUGGAGCAGUCUGUGUUUUGGUUCUACUGGUGUUACUGGUUCUGAGACAACAUUUUCAGAGGAAACUUGAAGGCUGUGAUCCAGCUACGGUCUAUUUAUCAGUGAGAGAAGACAACAUCAAUUGUCGACCAACAGACAUCAGACCAAACGGACGCAGAGGUACAGCUGCUCUUUAUUCAAAGGAAAUCAAGUCUACUUCCAUCUUCCCUGUGUAAUUUAGCCUAACCAUAGCUCUGCGGCU